CUAUUUAGGUCCAUCGAGAAGUUCACGACUUUAAUUGCUUUUUUUUUUUCAGACUGGAUGUUUGUUCUUGUUUAUCAACAUUGUUGUCUAGAAAUGUUAAAAGAACAAAUUGGAAGCUAAAUACCAAUCAACCUGGCGGCUCUAUUUUCUCUUUGUUCUUUUUAUUCUUUUUACAAUUCGAAAAAUGUAGUACUGCUAGUUUUUGAGGAGUGGGUAAGAAAUACACGUGCAUCGGGGAAAGAAUUAAAAAAAGGGGGUUGGGGUUUGAUUGGUUGUAAAAUGAAAAAAAAAAAAUUGCAACGUCGGUCGACAAGUCAUCCAUUGGAAAGUUCUGUUUUCUACGGAGGAAAGAGAUCGGUCUCGACAUUUAGGACCGGAACCUUGACUUUGUGCCAUUUCGUCCUUUAUCUCUUUUCGUGUCUGUGCUUUUCUACUCGUGUUUCGUGACAACGAGGUCCAUAGAACAAACCGAAUGUUCUUUCGAGUGUGUUUUUCUACCGGCAUGACUUUUCUAAGAUAUUGCUGAUCGUGAAGGAAAAUCAGCGUGCAGUUAAAGAAUGCCUAAACUAGGCCAGCAGACAACCUUCCACUAGCAUCGAUCUACCUCAUUUCCUUAACUCCCAAAAUUGGAAUGUGGGUCGUUAUCUGAAUCCGUCGACACUUAAAAACGACUUUAAAAUAACAAAGGCCUCCAUGGAACCCAGCACCUAUCGGCAACAAGACGCAAAUGCUGAAAUUCGUCCAUUGUUCGAAAUAAGAAAAGGCUAUUACAUGAAAAAGGGACAUAAAAAUGUAAUCUCAAUCAACACUGGAACGAUAGGUAAGCAUUUCAGCUCUUUUCAAACCUAAAAUUAUGUGUGCAAGAGAUGGUUCGUUCGGGUCAGUAGCGAUAAUCGUUGGGUCACUUACGUAUUAACAAGCCUUUGGUUCCACGCUCAUUACUAUACCUUUCGCUAUGUAUUGAGAUCACGCUUAUCCCACGGUUUUUUCCCUAUUCGAUGCCUCCCCGUCUCCCACGAGAUGCAAGUUGAAAGACUUGGCCAGUUGUUUCCACACAGCCAAAUGAUUGUUACAUGUUGUUAGCCCCCCACUUGCCCUUAGCCCACAGGGGGGCAAUAACCUAGCUGGGCAGAUGCUCUGGCAAUUCACGAUCCCAAACAGUUUUGUCUCUCGUUAGUUGAUUACAUUUUUUAAAACCCAUUGCCAACAAAGAACAGUCGUUUCUUCGAGACCCAAUUGGGAUGCGUUUAGCAACUGCACAUGUUCCUAUACAUCUGUAGUUAUAAACAUAUAAUUUAUUGGUUUUAAUUUCGCCAAACAAUCGUCGAUAGUCUUGGUAGAACUAGUUGG